CAGCAACGCCUGCUCCUUGGCCUCCUGAUCAAUGUCAUGGAGCACAUACCUUGUAUCCGGGACGUACCUCUGCUCAUUGACCACCUUCUUUUCGAUCUUGGGUGGCAGCCGGUACUCUGCCAGCUUGUUCCUCCCAUCAAGCAUGUUAAUCCCCAGACGCCUCUUUGGAGGUGGGGUUGGGAGCUUCUUAGGAUUUGCCUUGGAUGGAUCAAGCGACACCAACAACUCCUCUGCUCGGUCCUCAAGAUCAAUGUCUCCAUUCAUACGCGCCAGGUUCAAGACUGACUCCCACACCAUGGCGCUGGGCUCGAAAGGCAGCUUCUCAAUAUACUCCAUAGCCUCGUUGAGAUGCCCUGACUUCCCCAAGACCUCAAUGAUCCCAACAUAGUGCUCCACACCAGGCUCAAUACCAUGGUCCCUGGACAUGGCAUCAAAGUAAAGGAACGCCUCCUCAAUGGCCUCCGAGUUGGCACAAGCAUUGAGCACAAGCACAUAGGUAUGGCUGGUCGGUGCCAUGCAUUCCUUCAUCAGCUCAAACAGCCGCAGCGCCUCGUCCCCAAGCCCAUUCACCGAGUAGCCAUCUAUCAUGAUGUGCCACGACUCCAUGUCGCGGUCAGGCAUAUUGUCGAACGUCCUGCGGGCGUGGGGCAUGGCAGCACACUUGGCAUACAUCUCGAGCAGCUUGUUGUUGAUCCGGAGGUCGCCGCGGAAGGGCGAGCGGAGGAAGAAGUCGUGCACCUUCCUGAGCUCGUCGAGCAGCUUACGGUUAGAGCAGGCGGCUGCAAGCUCGUAGAAGGUGGGCGGGUCGGUGCGCGCCCCCUUGGUGAGAAGCUCCACGGCGUCCUUCACCCGUCCCUCCCGGCACAGUCCCAUCAGCUCCCCAGGCCCCGCCACAGGUUCAGGUGGCGGCGGAGGCGGAGUCGCAUGCUGCUGCGGGGGCGGAGGCCCGUAGCCGUGGUGCGGCGGCGGCGGCGGCGCCUGAUCCUGCGGUGGUGGAGGCCCGUAGCCCCGUGGCGGCGGAGGCGGCGCCUCCUUCUGCGGUGGUGGAGGUCCGUAGCCGCGGGGCGGUGGGGGUGGUGCCUGCUGGUGCGGCGGUGGAGGCCCGUAGCCGCGUGGCGGCGGAGGCGGCACAUGCUGGUGCGGGGAUGGAGGCCCGUGGCCGCGGGGUGGUGGAGGCCCGUGACUUCCGGGCGGCGGAGGCGGCACAUGCUGCUGCGGCGGAGGCGGCACAUGCUGCUGCGGCGGAGGAGGCCCAUAGCCGCGGGGCGGUGGAGGCCCGUGGCCGCCGGGCGGCGGUGGAGGUCCAUAGCCGCGGGGCGGCGGAGGCGGAGAGGGAUGUCCCUGCGGAGACCACUGCGGAGCCGGUCCGGGGGGAGGGGGAUUCCUUGGCGGCGCCCACUGCUGCUGAUGGGGCUGGUGAACAUGGUUGGGAGCGGCGGCGGCGGCGGGGGAAGGGGAAGGGUGGUAGGCGUAGGACGACUGGGAAGAUGAGAGGGGGCGGGCGAGGAGGUGGAGGAGGGAACGGGACCUGGCGGAGGAGAUGGCGAAGGAGCGGAGCGGGCGCAGGUGGAUGGCGGCGGUGGCGGCCAUGGUGAUUGGUGAUUGGCGAGGGCUUCACUUCUCCUCACCUCCGCUUGGGGGGUUUAGCCGUUUAGGCGAAGGCGAGAUUGGGGGAGAUGGAAGAUGUGGAGAUAUUUCCGGGCUCGCGAAUGGCGGAAUGGUGGUUCAUAUGGGCUCCGCGGGUGGUUGUACUCGGCCCAGUAAAAGAAUGAGGCCCAUGUCUGCGUCACGGUAAACUAGGCCACGAUCAAGGAAAGGC
rnacentral:lncRNA from 1 species